rnacentral:ncRNA from 2 species
GUGAAAAUCGGAAAAGCUUUUCGUAUAAUCCCGGGAAUCUGGCUUGGGAGUCUCUACAAGGUCACCGUAAAUGAUCUUGCUACGAAAAGCAGGGGAGUCGUC